GCGGACAUAGCUCAGCUGGUAGAGCAGCGCCCUUUUAAGGCGUGGGUCGGGGGUUCGAUUAUAUUAGGGUAUGAUUGCCACCGGCAAUCAUCGGUAUUGUUCAUUCGCUGCGCGGAGCCUCCCCUCUGUCAGCACCA
rnacentral:tRNA from 1 species